AGCGAGCCCGUGGAAUUUGCUGUGAAUCUGCCGGGACCACCCGGUAAGCCUGAAUACUACCUUGCGACCGAUAGCGGACAAGUACCGUGAGGGAAAGGUGAAAAGUACCCCGGGAGGGGAGUGAAAUAGUACCUGAAACCGUGUGCUUACAAUCCGUCAGAGCCCUCGUUGUGGGGUGAUGGCGUGCCUUUUGAAGAAUGAGCCUGCGAGUCAGUGCUCGGUGGCGAGGUUAACCCGUUGUGGGGUAGCCGUAGCGAAAGCGAGUCCCGAAUAGGGCGUUUGAGUCGCCGGGUCUGGACCCGAAGCGGAGUGAUCUACCCAUGGCCAGGGUGAAGCAGCAGUAAGAUGUUGUGGAGGCCCGAACCCACUUAGGUUGAAAACUGAGGGGAUGAGCUGUGGGUAGGGGUGAAAGGCCAAUCAAACUCCGUGAUAGCUGGUUCUCCCCGAAAUGCAUUUAGGUGCAGCGUCACGUGUUUCUUGCCGGAGGUAGAGCUACUGGAUGGCCGAUGGGCCCUCACAGGUUACUGACGUCAGCCAAACUCCGAAUGCCGGUAAGUGAGAACGUGGCAGUGAGACUGCGGGGGAUAAGCUUCGUAGUCGAGAGGGAAACAGCCCAGAUCGCCGGCUAAGGCCCCUAAGCGUGUACUAAGUGGAAAAGGAUGUCCGGUCGCGAAGACAACCAGGAGGUUGGCUUAGAAGCAGCCACCCUUGAAAGAGUGCGUAAUAGCUCACUGGUCUAGUGGCUGGGCGCCGACAAUGUAGCGGGGCUCAAGUACACCGCCGAAGCCGCGGCACUCACAGUUUUGACUGUGGGUGGGUAGGGGAGCGUCGUGCAGCCGUAGAAGCAGCAGGGUGACCUAGUUGUGGAGGCUGUGCGAGUGAGAAUGCAGGCAUGAGUAGCGAAUGACAAGUGAGAAACUUGUCCUCCGGAUGACCAAGGGUUCCUGGGCUAGGUUAAUCCUCCCAGGGUGAGUCGGGACCUAAGGCGAGGCCGACAGGCGUAGUCGAUGGACAACGGGUUGAUAUUCCCGUACCCGUGUCAGAUCGCCCCUGAUGAAUCAGUUGUACUAACCGUCCUGAAGCCGCGAGAUCACCUUCGGGUGACGAGCUGGUGGAUGCACGGGACCUCGGCUGGUAGUAGUCAAGCGAUGGGGUGACGCAGGAAGGUAGUGGGGCCAGUCAGUGGUUGUACUGGUGUAAGCCUGUAGGGCGAGAUCUAGGCAAAUCCGGAUCUCAUAUAAGCCUGAGAGGUGAUGCGUAGCCGUUGCGGCGAAUUCCAUGAUCCUAUGCUGCCGAGAAAAGCCUCUAGCGAGAUCUGAUGUGGCCCGUACCCCAAACCAACACAGGUGGUCAGGUAGAGAAUACCAAGGAGAUCGAGAGAACUGUGGUUAAGGAACUCGGCAAAAUGCCCCCGUAACUUCGGGAGAAGGGGGACCUCGUCUGGUGAUGAUCUUUACGGUCGGAGCUGGGUGGGGUCGCAGAGACCAGAGAGAAGCGACUGUUUACUAAAAACACAGGUCCAUGCGAAGUCGUAAGACGAUGUAUAUGGACUGACGCCU
rnacentral:rRNA from 1 species